GUGCGAGACCGAUAGCGAACAAGUACCGUGAGGAAAAGAUGAAAAGAACUUUGAAAAGAGAGUUAAAGAGUACCUGAAACUGCUGAAAGGGAACCGAAUCGUUUCCAGUGUCUAUAAUCUAUGGCAUAUUUCAUUGGCGAGUGAGUGCGUGCAGCGUUUUGGAAGUGGUUUUCCGCUCCUGUCGUUGCUGUGCAUUUGCUUGCUGGUGCCCUGUGCUGUGGUGGGACGUCAGAGUCAGUUUGUAUGUUGCGGGAAAUGGUUAUUGGGGAGGUAGGUCAUUUCGGUGGCUGUUAUAUCCUGGUAACUAGUCGUCGUGGCUGAGACUGAGGUGCCUAC
rnacentral:rRNA from 2 species